UGAUGGUUGUGAAGUGGAAUUUAAGGAGAGUUAUUGUUUUGUUAGGCUGUAGUUGUAUCUAUAUAACCAGAACCUCCGUCAAAACUCUGGUCCAGUUCACAACGUGGACAUGUAGAACUACUUUGUGUAAACAGGAGAUUCACAUAACAAUGUUAGUAGUGGUUUCCUAGGGUUUGUCGCAAAUGGCUCCCUAUUCACUAUCUAGUGCACUUCUUCUGGUCAAAAGUAGUGCACUACUAUAGGGAACAGUGUGUCAUUUGGGACACACUAUAACACUCAGAUUGACAGUAUUGUUCUAACUCUCUUGUCUUGUUCUUAACGUAGAGCUUUGGGUCGUACCAUUUUGGGGAGUUUGAUCUGAGUGCUGUACAGAUUUCCCAGAGGUAUUCUACCGACUGCACCGGUUUCUACACCUCCGCUGGCCUUCUGAACUUCUCCUGACCACCUCUCCCCUGAACGUUCCCUCAGGUGAGAGAGAGAGAGAGAGAGAGAGAGGUAAAGAGAGAGAGAGGUAAAGAGAGAGAGAGGUAAAAGAGAGAGAGGUAAAGAGAGAGAGAGGUAAAGAGAGAGAGGUAAAGAGAGAGAGAGGUAAAGAGAGAGAGGUAAAGAGAGAGAGGUAAAGAGAGAGAGAGAGGUAAAGAGAGAGAGAGAGGUAAAGAGAGAGAGAGGUAAAGAGAGAGAGAGGUAAAGAGAGAGAGAGAGGUAAAGAGAGAGAGGAGGAGAGAGAGAACACAACAGUGGUUUUUACAUUGAUUACCUUUACUGUAAAUUGUUGUACAUUUUAAGUGGUCAGUUUUCAGUAAUUUACAACUUUUUUGACAGUUGUUUGACAGACGAGGUAAAUCUCAGCAAUUAUGGUAAAUUUCCUCAAAAAUCAGAAGUGUAAAUCCCUCUUCAGGCAGGACAUCAAAGCACUCUACUGUUGGCCAGCAGAGGGCUCUAUCAGGCUUUAUUAUAGUGUGGAGGAGGCAGGGAGCAUUCUCUCGUCUGUGUGUGUGUGUGCAGGCAUUUUGAGGGGCAGUGACACUGUUGUCUGUCACUUCCCUGUCAGCGCUGUUGUCUGUCCCCCCCCUGUCAGUGCUGUUG
ensembl:lncRNA